CGGUUGAUCCUGCCGGACCCGACUGCUAUUUGGGUGAGAAUAAGCCAUGCAAGUUGAAUGGGAUGCCUAAACUUCCCAUAGCAAACUGCUCAGUAACACAUGAUCAACUUACCCUAUAGAGAAAAAUAACCUCGGGAAACUGAGGAUAAUGUUUCAUAGUUGAAAAGGCUUGGAAAAGUUUUUCAAUAAAAAGGAUAAGGAAAAUGGUUCUUAUCUGCUAUAGGAUAGGAUCGUGGUCGAUUAUGGUUGUUGGUGAGGUAAUGGCUCACCAAGCCGAUAAUCGAUAGGGGCCGUGAGAGCGGGAGCCCCGAGAUGGGUACUGAGACAACGACCCAGGCCUUACGAGGCGCAGCAGGCGCGAAACCUCCGCAAUACACGAAAGUGUGACGGGGUUACCCAAAGUGUUCAAUUCUGAACUGUGGUAGGUGAGUAAUGUCCCCUACUAGAAAGGAGAGGGCAAGGCUGGUGCCAGCCGCCGCGGUAAAACCAGCUCUUCAAGUGGUCGGGAUAAUUAUUGGGCUUAAAGUGUCCGUAGCCGGUUUAGUAAGUUCCUGGUAAAAUCGGGUAGCUUAACUAUCCGUAUGCUAGGAAUACUGCUAUACUAGAGGGCGGGAGAGGUCUGAGGUACUACAGGGGUAGGGGUGAAAUCUUAUAAUCCUUGUAGGACCACCAGUGGCGAAGGCGUCAGACUGGAACGUGCCUGACGGUGAGGGACGAAAGCCAGGGGAGCGAACCGGAUUAGAUACCCGGGUAGUCCUGGCUGUAAACGAUGCAUACUAGGUGAUGGUACGGCCAUGAGCCGUAUCAGUGCCGUAGGGAAACUGUUAAGUGUGCCGCCUGGGAAGUACGGUCGCAAGGCUAAAACUUAAAGGAAUUGGCGGGGGAGCAC
rnacentral:rRNA from 1 species